ensembl:lncRNA
GGGUGAGUCAUUAAUGACAUAAUUUUCAUUUUUGGGUGAACUAUCCCUUUAAUGAUCUUAUGAAAUAUUCAUUAAAUAAAUUAUUUACAUUUUUCUGACCAUGUAAUUUUUAAGCAAAAUUUCAACCCCGUCUUCCAGUAAAAUGACAUACUCUCUCAUAUAUAUUGUCAUAUAUAUAUAUAUAUUAGUCUGACAAUCCAUUGGAUGUGCAGCAUAAUACAGAAGAAAGGAUCCGUCGCCACUUUGUUAUAUUGUGAUUUUGAUCUGGUAAAAUAUUUCAUUGCUUAUUUUAAUGUUUAGUGCCUUUCAUUCAAAGUUGUGGACACAAAUGGCCCUCCUUUCAUGGAAUGACACACAGCCAUUCAGCCCUAUUUGAAGAGCUCCACAUCCCCUCUUCACUGGGCACGGCAACAAUUGCUGGCCCAGCUCUUCCCAAAACACUAACCAACUAGGUCAAGCUGACCAAGGAGUUUAAAAUGACACUGAAG